rnacentral:tRNA from 1 species
CCGGACGUCGCGAAAAGGCCCGUUCUGGAGCGAUCUGGAGCAGGCUCCCGCCCGAGCAGCGGACUGUUAAUCCGCGGGUCGUAGGUUCGAGUCCUACUGUCGGAGCCA